UCGCCGCCGCCCUUGGCUCUCGAUCCCCUCGAGUAAGCUGCGACGCCGUCAUCUCUCGAUUCCCUCGAGAUCGUUGCGCCGCCAUCGUCUCUCGAUCCCCUUGAGAUCCCCAGAUCUCACACCGCCACCGCCGGUGCCUCCUCCUCUGGUGACGCGGUGAACGAGAGCAGGCCCGCAGCAGGGGUGGCUGCCUCGUGCCCCCGAUGUCCAGCCCCCCCUCCGAUGUAUGCUGCAGGCCCAUGGCCUAGGCCCCAAGGAAACCAAGGACUCUGACGCAAAGUAGUCGGUAGCCCGCGAAUCCGUUUUCGCCCUGGAUGUGAGUCGCGUACCGGCGACUCUGGCUGUCCGACCUCGUGCGCGUCGUCCUCACCAUCAACCCCAAGUCCCUCCUCCAGUGGACAAUUGAACUCCACAACCAAUUUCUUCGACGCUGUCAUGCAGGUUCGAGUCCACACAAUGAGGAGAUUGAUUCAUGCGUGCUUGUUUCAGUCCAGAUCUCUAAAUAAAUGUUCCGAACGAGGAAGGUAUGGGAGAUUGGCAGUGUCAAGCAUGUGUUUCCUUACGUCUUCUUCUGUACUCCAGCUGGGUUGUAGUUUUUGAUACUACUCCUACAGGGCAUACUUUAGGGUUGCUACAGUUCCGAUCAACACUUGAGAAGAAAAAUGAUGCGAGUAAAGAAUAGCUUCAGUGGUCUAUUGAAUCAGGUGUUCCUUAAUCUUGAUAAAUUCCAAUCUAUUGGGAAGCUAUGAUUGUUUUCAUGUGUAUGCCCACCGCCGUGUUGCUUUUAUUCUGUUUUACUCUGAAGAACUAACAUAUUAUGCAUCUGUAUAAUUUACGAAAGAAGAUGGGCAUCAUAGUCUGUUCUUGGUUCAUUAGAACAUGGCCUAGCAAUAUGUCGAGGAAUUAACGGCAUCCUGAAUAAAAGAUGAUUCCUUAAUUGUUUGAUUUGUUGAGUCUUACAUAUAAAUAGAUACUGUGAUCCAUGGAAUUCUUCCAUUGUUUGUAUUGAAGUUAAAUGACAAUAUGCUCUUCAUAUAUACUUUCAAUAUAGUAGAAUAUUCAUUUGGGAUAAAUUUACUUUCUAUUUGAAAGUGCUGCACCGGCACUAAUAAACAAAUCCAAUCUCAUGUCAUCUAUUUAUUCUGACAAUGGUGCCAUGUAGACUAGGAAUUAGAAAAAAAACAAGUACUAGGAUACAUUGCAAACUAUGGAACGAAAAAAACAUACUUGAAAAGGCCUCAGCAGUUCUACGCAUGAGCCGGGUAAUGCAGCAUUAUAGGAUGAUCCAUUCAUAUGCAUACAAAGGCUUCAAUUUUGAUUUACACUCAGUUUCGUUCGAAUAUUGAUUUUUCUUUAGUUUAGAUCAGCUACGAUUUAGGUACUACAGUUGUAUAGGAUGAUCCACUGCCAUUCAUACAGAGGUUCCAGUCUUGAUUAUGUUUCGGUUGAAUUCAGUUUUUCGAGUCAGCCCAUCUCAGCUCUAUGUGUGACAUUUAUAAGAUGACUCCAUAAAAUUCACAAAAGACGGUAUUUCUUCCCAUCUCAGCCCCAACUGUUGCUUUCUUUGAGGUUUGGUCAUCUAAGUAGCUUUGCGGUGUUUUGGCCGGUGCAGGCUGGAAGACCCUGACUCGGAGGAGACGACAGAGUUCAUGGCGAGCGAGGCGGACUUGGCCGAGUCCAUGCUUUCCUGGUUAGGGAGAGCCUCCAACACAAGAGAGAGAGCAUCAUGACUGCCAUGGCUUGAACUAUUUUGCUGAGAUCCUGGAAAAAUUGAAUGGUUGAUCGAGGGUCGGAUAAUGGACGUGACACAGCUGCUAGAGAAGAGAUUAUAAUAUGGAAAAUAGCAGAUGAGGAGGAAGCUGAAGUUGGUAGAUUAAUUGAGCAAGAGUUCCAGACCCAGGUUACACCAAGAACAAGUGCCUCAGGUCAUUCAUUUUUCAAGCAGUAGAAGGAUCACUCCCCCUCCCCCCUCGCGUCGCCCACCUGAGGGCGACUCGAGGGUGCCCUCGCCCCGUGCGCCGUGACCACCCCUCUUCGGAUCUCACCGCCUCGACCAAAAUGUGAUUGGUGGCAAAGUCUGCGUUUGAGGCAAGGACAAUAAAAAUGAUGGAGCUUUUGGUGCUCAGCACCUUGAAAUGGAGGAUGCAAGUUGUUACUGCUUGCUCGUUUAUUGACUACUUCCUUUGCAAAUUCAAUGAUCCUGACACACCCUCCAUGCUCGCAUUCUCCUGCUCAACUGACCUCAUCCUGAGCACAGCUAAGUGAGCUGAUUUUUUGGUGUUCAAACAUUCAGAGAUUGCUGGAAGUGUUGCACUUCCUUCAUUUGGGGAGCACAAGACUUCAGUUGUCGAAAUGGCUACAACUAAUUGCAAGUAUAUAAACAAGGUAGUGAUCAGCUCUGUGUUAUCGUUAACUAAAUCAUUUGCCCGCAUCACAUGUUAACCUUUAAAUGCAAUGGUGCCUCUGUGUAGAAGAAGAAUGAGGUAUUUGAAUUAAAUUGUAGGGAGGCUUCAGAUGUAUCCAAGAAAAAGCAUAGCACCAACUUUUAUAAUGGUCCUAUGUUUCUAUCAGAGCAAUGCCAUUACCCUGCAUACAUUUUAAAACGCAUUUGAGUUCUAGUACAUAUUGUACAUGUACCAACAUUCUUUCCUCUGUUUUCAUUUUUUUGUUCUCCUUAAAUGGCAUCUCAUUUUUACUUUCAUUUAGAAAGUGAAGUAACAUUAAUAACUAAUAAGUUCUCGCAUGUUAGGUUUUCUUGGACGUUGUUGAGAGUGUAAACCUUCUUAUGUCUUCUAAAGGGAAUUUGUGUACCAUCAAA